CAGCAGCCGCCGCGGUAAAACGAAGGGGGCUAGCGUUGUUCGGAAUUACUGGGCGUAAAGCGCACGUAGGCGGAUAUUUAAGUCAGGGGUGAAAUCCCGCAGCUCAACUGCGGAACUGCCUUUGAUACUGGGUAUCUUGAGUAUGGAAGAGGUUAGUGGAAUUGCGAGUGUAGAGGUGAAAUUCGUAGAUAUUCGCAGGAACACCAGUGGCGAAGGCGGCUAACUGGUCCAUAACUGACGCUGAGGUGCGAAAGCGUGGGGAGCAAACAGGAUUAGAUACCCGAGUAGUCCCUGUCUCUUAUAU
rnacentral:rRNA from 1 species